rnacentral:rRNA from 1 species
AUGAAUGAUGAUGAGGAAGAGGAUGAUGCAUCAAGUGAUGACGGCAAGAGAAGCCCCACACCCAACUCGGUUUCAUACUCGAAGCCAAAACGACCGGAUGGGUGCAAGAAAGACAAAACCGAAAAGAAGAAGAGGAAAGGAGAUGAUGAGCUCAAAAAUGCUAUGGAAGCUAUUGUGAAGGCAAGGGUCGAAGCCAAUGAGGUGAGGAAAAUGGCAAGGAACCAAGAUGCCGUGGCCGAGGAGAGGAGGUUGGCGGCCGAGGAGAGAAGGGUGGCGGCCGAGGAGAGGAAGGUGGCUUUGGAGGAGAGGAAAGUGAGCAAUGAGGAGCGAGCUAAGUUGUUGGAAUGGGAGAAGCACUUGUUCUUCUUGGACACAUCUAACCUCAAUGCGGCGCAAAAGGAGUAUGGCAAUCUUGCCCAAUAA